GGGGUUGUGGCUCAAGUGGUAGCGCGCUCGCCUGGCAAGCGCGGGCCUGCGUUUGAUCCUCAGCACCACA
rnacentral:tRNA from 1 species